AUGAACGCUAGCUACAGGCUUAACACAUGCAAGUCGAGGGGCAGCAUGGUCUUAGCUUGCUAAGGCCGAUGGCGACCGGCGCACGGGUGAGUAACACGUAUCCAACCUGCCGUCUACUCUUGGACAGCCUUCUGAAAGGAAGAUUAAUACAAGAUGGCAUCAUGAGUCCGCAUGUUCACAUGAUUAAAGGUAUUCCGGUAGACGAUGGGGAUGCGUUCCAUUAGAUAGUAGGCGGGGUAACGGCCCACCUAGUCUUCGAUGGAUAGGGGUUCUGAGAGGAAGGUCCCCCACAUUGGAACUGAGACACGGUCCAAACUCCUACGGGAGGCAGCAGUGAGGAAUAUUGGUCAAUGGGCGAGAGUCUGAACCAGCCAAGUAGCGUGAAGGAUGACUGCCCUAUGGGUUGUAAACUUCUUUUAUAAAGGAAUAAAGUCGGGUAUGCAUACCCGUUUGCAUGUACUUUAUGAAUAAGGAUCGGCUAACUCCGUGCCAGCAGCCGCGGUAAUACGGAGGAUCCGAGCGUUAUCCGGAUUUAUUGGGUUUAAAGGGAGCGUAGAUGGAUGUUUAAGUCAGUUGUGAAAGUUUGCGGCUCAACCGUAAAAUUGCAGUUGAUACUGGAUAUCUUGAGUGCAGUUGAGGCAGGCGGAAUUCGUGGUGUAGCGGUGAAAUGCUUAGAUAUCACGAAGAACUCCGAUUGCGAAGGCAGCCUGCUAAGCUGCAACUGACAUUGAGGCUCGAAAGUGUGGGUAUCAAACAGGAUUAGAUACCCUGGUAGUCCACACGGUAAACGAUGAAUACUCGCUGUUUGCGAUAUACGGCAAGCGGCCAAGCGAAAGCGUUAAGUAUUCCACCUGGGGAGUACGCCGGCAACGGUGAAACUCAAAGGAAUUGACGGGGGCCCGCACAAGCGGAGGAACAUGUGGUUUAAUUCGAUGAUACGCGAGGAACCUUACCCGGGCUUAAAUUGCAGAUGAAUUACGGUGAAAGCCGUAAGCCGCAAGGCAUCUGUGAAGGUGCUGCAUGGUUGUCGUCAGCUCGUGCCGUGAGGUGUCGGCUUAAGUGCCAUAACGAGCGCAACCCUUGUUGUCAGUUACUAACAGGUCAUGCUGAGGACUCUGACAAGACUGCCAUCGUAAGAUGUGAGGAAGGUGGGGAUGACGUCAAAUCAGCACGGCCCUUACGUCCGGGGCUACACACGUGUUACAAUGGGGGGUACAGAGGGCCGCUACCACGCGAGUGGAUGCCAAUCCCCAAAACCUCUCUCAGUUCGGACUGGAGUCUGCAACCCGACUCCACGAAGCUGGAUUCGCUAGUAAUCGCGCAUCAGCCACGGCGCGGUGAAUACGUUCCCGGGCCUUGUACACACCGCCCGUCAAGCCAUGGGAGCCGGGGGUACCUGAAGUGCGUAACCGCGAGGAGCGCCCUAGGGUAAAACUGGUGACUGGGGCU
rnacentral:rRNA from 1 species